rnacentral:rRNA from 1 species
UACGUAGGGUGCAAGCGUUGUCCGGAAUUAUUGGGCGUAAAGAGCUCGUAGGCGGUCUGUUGCGUCUGCUGUGAAAACUCGGGGCUUAACCCCGGGCCUGCAGUGGGUACGGACAGUCUAGAGUGCGGUAGGGGAGAGUGGAAUUCCUGGUGUAGCGGUGAAAUGCGCAGAUAUCAGGAGGAACACCGGUGGCGAAGGCGGGUCUCUGGGCCGUAACUGACGCUGAGGAGCGAAAGCGUGGGGAGCGAACAGG